rnacentral:tRNA from 1 species
GAUCUGGUAGCUCAGCUGGGAGAGCACUACCUUGACAGGGUAGGGGUCACAGGUUCGAUCCCUGUUCAGAUCACCA